rnacentral:rRNA from 1 species
CAAUACUUAGCGGCAGACGGGUGAGUAACAUGUGGGUAUCUGCCCUUUGGUUUGGAAUAACACGAGGAAACUUGUGCUAAUACCGAAUAAGUCUUUACGGAGAAAGCUUUAUGCGCCAAUGGAUGAGCCCGCACUUGAUUAGUUUGUUGGUGGGGUAAUGGCCUACCAAGACUUUGAUCAAUAGCUGAUUUGAGAGGAUGAUCAGCCACAUUGGGACUGAGACACGGCCCAAACUCCUACGGGAGGCAGCAGUGGGGAAUCUUGCACAAUGGAGGAAACUCUGAUGCAGCGAUGCCGCGUGAGUGAAGAAGGCCCUUGGGUUGUAAAGCUCUUUCGUCGGGGAAGAAAAUGACUGUACCCGAAUAAGAAGGUCCGGCUAACUUCGUGCCGGCAGCCGCGGUAAUACGAAGGGACCUAGCGUAGUUCGGAAUUACUGGGCUUAAAGAGUUCGUAGGUGGUUGAAAAAGUUGGUGGUGAAAUCCCAGAGCUUAACUCUGGAACUGCCAUCAAAACUUUUCAGCUAGAGUUUGAUAGAGGAAAGCAGAAUUUCUAGUGUAGAGGUGAAAUUCGUAGAUAUUAGAAAGAAUACCGAUUGCGAAGGCAGCUUUCUGGAUCAUUACUGACACUGAGGAACGAAAGCAUGGGUAGCGAAGAGGAUUAGAUACUCUCGUAGUCCAUGCCGCAAACGAUGUGUGUUAGACGUUGGAAAUUUAUUUUCAGUGUCGCAGCGAAAGCGAUAAACACACCGCCUGGGGAGUACGACCGCAAGGUUAAAACUCAAAUGAAUUGACGGGGACCCGCACA